GUUCUCACUUCAGCAGCACAUAUAAUAAAAUGGAAUGAUACAGAGAAGAUUGGCAUGGCCCCUGUGCAAGGGUGACACUCAAAUGCAUAGUGUUCCACAUUUAA